rnacentral:rRNA from 1 species
UGGGGAAUAUUGGACAAUGGGCGCAAGCCUGAUCCAGCCAUGCCGCGUGAGUGAUGAAGGCCUUAGGGUUGUAAAGCUCUUUUACCAGGGAAGAUAAUGACGGUACCUGGAGAAUAAGCCCCGGCUAACUUCGUGCCAGCAGCCGCGGUAAUACGAAGGGGGCUAGCGUUGCUCGGAAUCACUGGGCGUAAAGCGCGCGUAGGUGGUUUGGUAAGAUGGAUGUGAAAUCCCCGGGCUCAACCUGGGAACUGCAUCCAUAACUGCCUGACUAGAGUACGGUAGAGGGUGGUGGAAUUUCCUGUGUAGCGGUGAAAUGCGUAGAUAUAGGAAGGAACACCAGUGGCGAAGGCGACCACCUGGACUGAUACUGACACUGAGGUGCGAAAGCGUGGGGAGCAAACA